AUUGAACGCCGGCGGCAGGCCUAACACAUGCAAGUCGAGCGGAUGAAGGGAGCUUGCUCCUGGAUUCAGCGGCGGACGGGUGAGUAAUGCCUAGGAAUCUGCCUGGUAGUGGGGGAUAACGUCCGGAAACGGGCGCUAAUACCGCAUACGUCCUGAGGGAGAAAGUGGGGGAUCUUCGGACCUCACGCUAUCAGAUGAGCCUAGGUCGGAUUAGCUAGUUGGUGGGGUAAAGGCCUGCCAAGGCGACGAUCCGUAACUGGUCUGAGAGGAUGAUCAGUCACACUGGAACUGAGACACGGUCCAGACUCCUACGGGAGGCAGCAGUGGGGAAUAUUGGACAAUGGGCGAAAGCCUGAUCCAGCCAUGCCGCGUGUGUGAAGAAGGUCUUCGGAUUGUAAAGCACUUUAAGUUGGGAGGAAGGGCAGUAAGUUAAUACCUUGCUGUUUUGACGUUACCAACAGAAUAAGCACCGGCUAACUUCGUG
rnacentral:rRNA from 1 species